GAUGAACGCUAGCGGCAGGCCUAACACAUGCAAGUCGAGGGAGAAGCCCUUUCGGGGGCAGAAACCGGCGCACGGGUGCGUAACGCGUAUGCAACCUACCUUUCACAGGGGGAUAGCCCGAAGAAAUUUGGAUUAAUACCCCAUAAUAUUAUUGGAUGGCAUCAUUUGAUAAUUAAAACUGCGGUGGUGAAAGAUGGGCAUGCGUCCUAUUAGCUAGUUGGAGUGGUAACGGCACCCCAAGGCUACGAUAGGUAGGGGUCCUGAGAGGGAGAUCCCCCACACUGGUACUGAGACAGGGACCAGACUCCUACGGGAGGCAGCAGUGAGGAAUAUUGGUCAAUGGUCGGAAGACUGAACCAGCCAUGCCGCGUGCAGGAAGAAUGCCUUAUGGGUUGUAAACUGCUUUUAUAUGGGAAGAAUAAGGCGUACGUGUACGUUGAUGACG
rnacentral:rRNA from 1 species